GGCAGUGUGGCUCAGUGGAAAGAGCCCGGGCUUGGGAGUCAGAGAUCAUGGGUUCAAAUCCUGGCUCUGCCA
rnacentral:tRNA from 1 species